AAUUCAUUAUUAUUGGUCCCUCAACUCAUCAAAACGUGCAGCUAUGGUUCCUCAAUUAAAAAUCAAUUACCAUUGGUCCCUCAACUUUAAUCCAACCGGAGAAAUUGUCUCUCAAUUUUAACUAAAUUGGAGCAAUGGUCCCUCAAACUUUAAUUCAAUUGUAGCAAUGAUCCUUCCAACAUAACUCAUUCUGAUGAAGUUGAUGAAAAUGAUCAUAGAUACACGUUUUGAUGAGUUUGAGAUAUUCCAAUUGUAACAAUGGUCAUUUCAACAUAACUUAUUUUGACUUAUAAUGCAUCUAUUGCACACGCAUGAGUGAAUGCUUUGCUUAGCUUGACACAUUAAUCAUGUUCAAAGUCUUCAAUAUGAAAAUAAAUCAAGCUCUCCAAUCAGUAAUUAGGGCGGAUGUGAAUGCUAGCUGGCAUGAUAUGAUAGCGUUGAUUCAAUCCACCUAAACCAUAGAAAAUAAACACAUCCAACUCCAAGUCUUACUUACUACCUGCUUGACCAUCAAUUUUUUUUUUUCACUAUGCUACUACUCCUCGUGAAGUGUGUGUGUGUGUUGUGUGAAAGCAUUUUAAGAAUACAACUGGGUAUUCCAAAAUCCGAGCUCCAAACCUCAAACUACAUGAUUGGUUGCUUACAAUUAAAGCAGCAUCUUUUAUAAGUUUGCUAGGGCUGGGUUUCAACCACAUGUUAAAAAUUGUAGGUUUCAUUUCUUAAUCUAGUUUAGUACGUUGGAUUGGAUAGGAUUACUACCUACCAUUAGAUUAAACUGGAUAACUUUAAUCCUAUCAUACAAUUGGUGUUCAUAUACUUUUGUAGUAAACAAAAUUUCACCAGCCCUAGAGGGGAUAUCAUGUGUACCAUAGUAGAUAUGAUGUAAUUACCCUUAGAGUUUCGCCAACGCUUAACCCUCGUGUGAUUGAGCAUUAAAUAUAUAAGAGGGAUGUUUCCCUGUAAAUCAUGCCAGAUAAAAAUGACACCUCUGCCAUACCAGCGUGUGCACCACUCCUCACGAGAUGGACUCACGUAAAAAAAUGUGCUGGGCCACCCUACUUAAUAGAGUUGAGCUGAGUGGACAAGACAACAUCCUAAGAUCUUCAAGAUAUUAUGAUCCCUAUAGUCAUAUGGACUAGACAUAGAUCAUGGUCAUUGAUCUUGUCAAGGAUCAUCCCUGUACGAGACUCUUAAUUGGUGCCCCUCUCACGUUUCCCAUGGUCAACCCAUGUUGGCUAAAUAAGCGGGAUAACGUGGGUUCAAAGCAACAACUUAGGUAGCACCAUUUGUGCUCUCUUCAAGCCCAUGUCCCGCAUUCGAUAAAGGCAUGCAUACGCACAAUGAUAUGUAACCCAAAAAGCUCAUAAUAGCUUGAGAUCCAUUUUUCCUACGAUUAAGUCUAACUUAGGCAUCAGAGGGUCUCUUGGCUCACACCACACUGGAGCGACAAUGUCUGAACUGUCUUUUCAUUCUUGGUUGCAUGGACACCAGAUUUAUUCUAUGUUUGUGUGAGGUUUGUUUCCCACAACUUUCUCCAUAUCUCAAGCAUAAAAGUAAAAACAAAAAACAAAAAUCAAAAUGGUUAUGACCGCUUAGUUCUACGGUUUAAUGAUAUUUCUCGUUACUUGUAAAUAAAAAAUUUUAGGUUCCAAUCUUGAUAAUGGCGAUUUGCAACCAAGUUAUUUCCCCAUCCCUUUAGUGUAACUAUAUUGUUGUAUAAAAAAAAAUAAAAAUAGUUAAGCACGAUAACUUAUUACCAUUUGAUUUUGAAGAAAAAUUAUGAUCAUUGACUUAUUAUUAAUUUAAAUUACCAUGAUAUUUCAAAUUUAUAUUUUAAAACGACAAAUAAUAGUUUCUAUUAAGAUAAGAUAAUUGUUAUUAGUACUCUAAAAAUUUCAUUAUGCAUUCUAAACUUUUUAUAUUAAAAAAAAAUUCUUUUAAUGAAAAGUGCACAAUUAAAAUUUUGAAGGGUUAAUCAUAGUACCCUUAGAUAAAUAUAGGUUAGUAUUUUUAUUGUUUUUCAUCCCAUUUUUUUAAUGCCUUCCAAAGCACUUCUAUUCCUAGGCUCAGUUCAAACUCACGGCAGGCACACGCAUGCAAACAGAGAGAGAAGGUGAUAGCUGAUAGGGAUGGCCAUAGAUAUGAUAUAGGAAUGGUUUUGUGAAGAGGUUUAAGGUAGGGGUGGCUUGAGAGAAAAAUAAAUAAAAAUAAAAAAUAAAAAAAUUGAAUCGUCUAUAAAAUCGAAAAAAAUCAUACCGAAUAUGAAGAAAUUGAACCAAAUCAAAAGAUAUUGGUUCAUUUUCGGUUUUAGAAGUUUAGAAACCAAACCGAAUCGAAUCAUAUAAAAUUAGGUGAAGUACAAAAAACUACCUCAACUAUUGGUGUCACGAUAUUUUUACAUCUCAUCUUUUAAAAUUGACAAUGUCAUACCUCAUCUUUAGAAUUUGGUCCAAUGUUAUACCUUUCGUUACUUGGCCGUUUACUUUUUAGUUAAAUGUUGACGUGGCUUCAUUCAAAGCCCACUUUCUAUUAAAAAUCAUUAAAAUAUUAUUAAAAACUAAAAAAAAACAACCCUCAGUUCGUCCCUCCCCUCCCCCCCUCCUCUCUCUUCUCCCCAUCU
rnacentral:lncRNA from 1 species